rnacentral:rRNA from 1 species
UACAGAGGGGGCAAGCGUUAUUCGGAGUUAUUGGGCGUCAAGGGCGCGUAGGCGGCUUUGCAAGUGACGGGUGAAAUCCCUCGGCUUAACCGAGGAACUGCCUGUCAAACUGCAUGGCUUGAGACCGGGAGAGGUGAGUGGAAUUCCCAGUGUAGCGGUGAAAUGCGUAGAUAUUGGGAGGAACACCAGUGGCGAAGGCGGCUCACUGGACCGGUACUGACGCUGAUGCGCGAAAGCGUGGGGAGCAAACAGG